GCACUGAGGGUGGCACUUGGCGGGAUGAGCACUGGGUGUUAUGCUAUAUAUUGCCAAAUUGAACUCCAAUAAAAAGAAAUUUUAAAAAAAGGAAUCAUCCUUCAACUGAAAAAAAAAAAUAGUCCACAAGGUAAUCUAGUUACAGUUUCCAAAAAUUAGAGUGUCCAUCUUUGCAGGGCUAUGAUGCAGCCCAGCACAGGUAUUUAGCACAAGUAUUAGCACAAACAGGCAUGCAACAAAGUUCAGUCCCUGUCUCCUCUUCCCAUCAGAAUCAGAGGCAAGAUGGAUCAAUUGCUCAUUCCCCCAAUUUACCAUCACCUUGAACACUCUUCUCAGAGGUCCAAAAAGAAAUGCCAAAGGGAUCUUCUCAGAGUAAAAUGGGAAAAACCUUAAAAACUCCUACUUGUUUUUAUACUGGUCAACAUUGCUGUGGAAGACAUUUUAUGGUACCAUCUCAUACUUCGCUGCUACCCAAGUGUGAACACUACAUCUGGUUUGAAAAUGAGAAUCGGUGAACCUCUCUAGACUCCCAAGCAAGAUUAAAAAACUGAAGCAGGCUCUUUAAUGUUUUUGUCCAAAAACUUUGAACUAGUAAACGGGAGACCUGGGACAACAGUAAAGACCACAUCAUAGGAACAUCCUUCUCAGGAUGCCAGUUCCUACUGUCUACCAUGAAGCACUUCUCUCACCACCAACUUUACUGCCCCUGGGCACUGGGCUCUUGGCUACCACGUUGCACCUCUUAUUCCAGAUUCAGGUCUCGGGUGCUUACCACAUUUAUACAAAAGGAAACAGAAAUUCAACGUCUUGGAAAUCUCAAAUUAUCUUCAAAAUCUCGCUGUUUUGCAUCAUGAAAGGAGGCUUAGCUGAAUACUACAAUCAAAGGACGACUCACAUAAUUAGAAAAAAAGCCCUGCUUUCUUCAUUAAAAAAAAAUGAGAAUAAAUUUUCUGUCAUUCUUUGCUUGCAUACAUGUCUUAUCCCCUGAUGCUCAGUAAAGCUGAAUUUUCAAAUUUGUAACACUUCUUCAGGUCUCUGGGUUUGAUUAAUAAUAAUUGUCAGUCCAUUAAAAUGGAUUAUGAUGAUUCCCAAGGAAUUGGUUGUUAACAUAAUUAACAGCUGGCUUUACUUUCAAGACAUUAAUCAAAAGAGCAAGUUGCUGGAAAUGACCAGGUUCUCACAAAUGUUGCUAAUUAACAAAGGCAUUGAAGUUGUGUGACAAUGAUUCCUGAUGCUGUUAUCUGCAUGAUUGUAUCACAGCUUUAAAUGCCCCCAAUGUGAUAUGUUUUCUCAAGUGUUAUUAAGCCAACAGGCAUUUGAAUAAAUUUAAUUUAAAAGAAACA
rnacentral:lncRNA from 1 species